UUUUCUUGCCAGGCUCUGAUAGAUGGACAGCUGAGGAGAAGGAGGCCUUCCAAAAGGCUUUCCACACCUACGGCAAGGAUUUCCAUCUCAUCCAGAAGCAGAUCCCAAGUAAGACCGUGGCACAGUGUGUGGAGUACUACUACUGCUGGAAAAAAGAGCAGAAACUUGCCAGCAGCACUCUUGCUCAGACUGCGGGCAAACGGAAGAGGAGGAAAAGCCCUCCCAGGAAGGAGACUGGGGAGACCGGGAAGAGAAGC